rfam:Camelus ferus unplaced genomic scaffold scaffold1168, whole genome shotgun sequence.
GACGGUGUAGCUCAAGCGGUAGAGCACAUGCUUAGCAUGCAUGAGGUCCUGGGUUCAAUCCCCAGCACCUCCA